rnacentral:rRNA from 1 species
GGCCCCGACUCNUACGGGAGGCAGCAGUGGGGAAUAUUGGGCAAUGGGGGAAACCCUGACCCAGCGACGCCGCGUGGGUGAUGAAGGCCUUCGGGUCGUAAAGCCCUGUCGGGAGGAACGAAUGACCUCGUCGCAAAUAGNUACGAGGUGUGACGGUACCUCCGAAGGAAGCACCGGCCAACUCCGUGCCAGCAGCCGCGGUAAGACGGAGGGUGCAAGCGUUGCUCGGAAUCACUGGGCGUAAAGGGUGCGUAGGCGGCCUCCUAAGUCUGACGUGAAAGCCCAGGGCUUAGCCCUGGAAGGGCGUUAGAAACUGGGAGGCUUGAGUACCGGAGGGGAGAGUGGAAUUCCCGGUGUAGCGGUGAAAUGCGUAGAUAUCGGGAAGAAUACCGGUGGCGAAAGCGACUCUCUGGACGGUUA